rnacentral:rRNA from 1 species
AGGACGAACGCUGGCGGCGUGCUUAACACAUGCAAGUCGAGCGGAAAGGCCCUUCGGGGUACUCGAGCGGCGAACGGGCGAGUAACACGUGAGCAACCUGCCCUUAGCUUCGGGAUAGCUCCGGGAAACCGGAAUUAAUACCGAAUAUGACUGCGGCUGACAUCAGCCACGGUGGAAAGUUUUUCGGCUAGGGAUGGACUCGCGGCCUAUCAGCUAGUUGGUGAGGUAACGGCCCACCAAGGCGACGACGGGUA